GCCGGCCUGACAUGCGCAGUGCGCGGGGGCUGCGGCGGCCGGGAGGUGCCGCGGUCCUGGGCACACCUGGCGGCCUGGGACGCGGAGGAAUUCUUACAAAGUGUGGGGCGAGGAAGCCCAUCGGUAGUUUCCUAGUGUGAUGAAAUGACUUUGGAAAUUACCCUUAACAGCGGAUGGAGCUGACAUCGUGAGUUUUCUCUCCCAAGGACGCAAGGCGCAGAAGCCGCUGGGGAAGAGGACAGUCCAGAGUCUGCUGGGUUGACACGGGGUGAAAACGUAAUUGAAGAUCUUGAAAAAUGGGAUUGUUUUUGCUUUGAGGGAAGCAGCGUCGCACGCUGUGGGAAGCUUGGCGCCCCAGGCCCACCUCGAGUGUGGGGCGGGGAGAGAGGUCUUUGUGGUCUUGUGGUAUGCUUUUCAUACGUUCAGAAUCUGAUUUUCAUUAAAAUGGCAAGAUCAGUGCUGUCAAAUUAGGAA